rnacentral:rRNA from 1 species
CCUACGGGCGGCAGCAGUGGGGGAUAUUGCACAAUGGGGGAAACCCUGAUGCAGCGACGCCGCGUGUGGGAAGACGGUCCUCUGGAUUGUAAACCACUGUCCCCAGGGACGAAAUUGACGUUACUGGGGGAGGAAGCUCCGGCUAACUACGGGCAGGCAACCGCGGUAUUAGGUAGGGAGCGAGGGUUGUCCGGAAUUACUGGUGGAAAGGGGAGCGUGGGCGGGAAUGAAGGCUGGGUGUAAAAUCUAACGGCUAAACCGGUAGCCGAAUUGGAAACUGCAGAUCUGGAGUGAAGUAGAGGCAGGCGGAAUUCCUAGUGUAGCGGUGAAAUGCGUAGAGAUUAGGAGGAACACCAGUGGCGAAGGCGGCCUGCUGGACUUUUACUGACGCUGAGGCUCGAAAGUGUGGGGAGCAAACAGGAUUAGAUACCCCUGUAGUC